GUUGGGCAUGGUGGUGCAUGCCUGUAAUCCCAGCAGCUCGGGAGGCUGAGAUAGGAGGAUUGAGAGUUCAGAGUCAGCUUCAGCAAAAGCAUGGGCACUAAGGAACUUAGUGAGACCCUAUCUCUA
rnacentral:sRNA from 1 species